GACGAACGCUGGCGGCGUGCUUAACACAUGCAAGUCGAACGGAAAGGCCCUGCUUUUGUGGGGUGCUCGAGUGGCGAAAGGGUGAGUAACACGUGAGUAACCUGCCCUUUACUUUGGGAUAACUUCAGGAAACUGGGGCUAAUACCGGAUAGGAGCUCCUGCUGCAUGGUGGGGGUUGGAAAGUUUCGGCGGUUGGGGAUGGACUCGCGGCUUAUCAGCUUGUUGGUGGGGUAGUGGCUUACCAAGGCUUUGACGGGUAGCCGGCCUGAGAGGGUGACCGGCCACAUUGGGACUGAGAUACGGCCCAGACUCCUACGGGAGGCAGCAGUGGGGAAUAUUGCACAAUGGGCGGAAGCCUGAUGCAGCAACGCCGCGUGCGGGAUGACGGCCUUCGGGUUGUAAACCGCUUUCGCCUGUGACGAAGCGUGAGUGACGGUAAUGGGUAAAGAAGCACCGGCUAACUACGUG
rnacentral:rRNA from 1 species